UACGUAGGAGGCGAGCGUUGUCCGGAAUUACUGGGCGUAAAGAGCGCGUAGGCGGCGCGAUACGACCGAUGUGAAAGCCCACGGCUCAACCGUGGAGGGUCAUUGGAAACUGGGGAACUUGAGUGCAGAAGAGGAAAGUGGAAUUCCAAGUGUAGCGGUGAAAUGCGUAGAGAUUUGGAGGAACACCAGUGGCGAAGGCGACUUUCUGGUCUGUAACUGACACUGAGGCGCGAAAGCGUGGGGAGCGAACAGG
rnacentral:rRNA from 1 species